UACAGGGGGUGCAAACGUUGCUCGGAAUACUGGGCGUAAAGCGUGCGCAGGCGGCUAUGCAAGACAGAUGUGAAAUCCCCGGGCUCAACCUGGGAACUGCAUUUGUGACUGCAUGGCUAGAGUACGGUAGAGGGGGAUGGAAUUCCGCGUGUAGCAGUGAAAUGCGUAGAUAUGCGGAGGAACACCGAUGCGAAGGCAAUCCCUGGACCUGUAC
rnacentral:rRNA from 1 species